rnacentral:lncRNA from 1 species
GGCAAAUGGCGACUGAGUCUCCAUCAUAGGGCGACUCACCAAUGUGGUGGUGGAAUUGACAAAUUUGGUGAAGAAAAAGGUUCGAAGUUUGUGGAUUUUCGUUCGAAGUUUGUGGAUUUUCGUUUGCAAUUAGGCUGAUGAGAAUAGUUGUGGAAAUAAAUAAUAGGGUUUAGGUGGGAUGAUAAAACUGAGAAAGUGGGUUUGUGGGAUAAAAGUAGAAAAGAAAAUAACCGUUCAUUUUGCCGGGGAAAAGAAACUGUAGAAAAGAAAACUAUGUAUUAAUAGAUGCGCAGCCUUCAAGAUAUUUGCCCUUUAUAUGUUGUUUUAUUUACUAAAUUGCCACAAACUGUGUUUUCAUAUACUAUAUAGAUUAGACAAAUGUAGAUAGCACUNCUUUCACCAGAAACGAAUUUUUCUUCUCGACGAUCUGCCAUAUCGACUUGACCAGAUAGAAAGAAUUGCUCCAGGCUUAUAAUCAAUAAGAGCAUAAAAAAAAUAGAAAUACAAAUUCAAGUCUGCUGAAUAAGAAAUAGAAAAAAGAAACAGGAAUAGAGAGAAGGAAACUUGUUAGAUUUGCUCUUGCCCUUGGAGACGGCGUGAGGCCGCAGGCCAGCCUGAGUUUUAGGCGACGUUUGUUCGAGGCGGCACGACAAAGGUGAGGGUUGCGUCUCCAUCAGAGUUUGUGGGCAAAUGGCGACUGAGUCUCCAUCAGAGGGCGACUCACCAAUGUGGUGGUGGAAUUGACAAAUUUGGUGAAGAAAAAGGUUCGAAGUUUGUGGAUUUUCGUUCGACGUUUGUAGAUUUUAGUUUGCAAUUAGGCUGAUGAGAAUAGUUGGGGAAAGAAAUGAUAGGGUUUAGGUGGGAUGAUAAAACUGAGAAAAUGGGUUUGUGGCAUAAAAGUAGAAAAGAAAAUAACCGUUCAUUUUGCCGGG